rnacentral:rRNA from 1 species
UACAGAGGUCCCAAGCGUUUGUUCGGAUUCACUGGGCGUAAAGGGUGCGUAGGUGGUGAGGUAAGUCGGAUGUGAAAUCUCCGAGCUCAACUCGGAAAUUGCAUUGGAAACUACCUUGCUAGAGGGUUGGAGGGGGGACUGGAAUACUUGGUGUAGCAGUGAAAUGCGUAGAUAUCAAGUGGAACACCAGUGGCGAAGGCGAGUCCCUGGACAACUCCUGACACUGAGGCACGAAAGCUAGGGGAGCAAACAGG